AGGUGCUUGCACCUGAUUGAUUUUGGUCGCCAACGAGUGGCGGACGGGUGAGUAACACGUAGGUAACCUGCCCAGAAGCGGGGGACAACAUUUGGAAACAGAUGCUAAUACCGCAUAACAACGUUGUUCGCAUGAACAACGCUUAAAAGAUGGCUUCUCGCUAUCACUUCUGGAUGGACCUGCGGUGCAUUAGCUUGUUGGUGGGGUAAUGGCCUACCAAGGCGAUGAUGCAUAGCCGAGUUGAGAGACUGAUCGGCCACAAUGGGACUGAGACACGGCCCAUACUCCUACGGGAGGCAGCAGUAGGGAAUCUUCCACAAUGGGCGCAAGCCUGAUGGAGCAACACCGCGUGAGUGAAGAAGGGUUUCGGCUCGUAAAGCUCUGUUGUUAAAGAAGAACACGUAUGAGAGUAACUGUUCAUACGUUGACGGUAUUUAACCAGAAAGUCACGGCUAACUACGUGCCAGCAGCCGCGGUAAUACGUAGGUGGCAAGCGUUAUCCGGAUUUAUUGGGCGUAAAGAGAGUGCAGGCGGUUUUCUAAGUCUGAUGUGAAAGCCUUCGGCUUAACCGGAGAAGUGCAUCGGAAACUGGAUAACUUGAGUGCAGAAGAGGGUAGUGGAACUCCAUGUGUAGCGGUGGAAUGCGUAGAUAUAUGGAAGAACACCAGUGGCGAAGGCGGCUACCUGGUCUGCAACUGACGCUGAGACUCGAAAGCAUGGGUAGCGAACAGGAUUAGAUACCCUGGUAGUCCAUGCCGUAAACGAUGAGUGCUAGGUGUUGGAGGGUUUCCGCCCUUCAGUGCCGGAGCUAACGCAUUAAGCACUCCGCCUGGGGAGUACGACCGCAAGGUUGAAACUCAAAGGAAUUGACGGGGGCCCGCACAAGCGGUGGAGCAUGUGGUUUAAUUCGAAGCUACGCGAAGACCCUUACCAGGUCUUGACAUCUUGCGCCAACCCU
rnacentral:rRNA from 2 species